CCCAGACUCCUACGGGAGGCAGCAGUGGGGAAUAUUGCACAAUGGGGGAAACCCUGAUGCAGCGACGCCGCGUGAGUGAGGAAGUAUUUCGGUAUGUAAAGCUCUAUCAGCAGGGAGGAAAAUGACGGUACCUGACCAAGAAGCCCCGGCUAACUACGUGCCAGCAGCCGCGGUAAUACGUAGGGGGCAAGCGUUAUCCGGAUUUACUGGGUGUAAAGGGAGCGUAGGCGGCUGUGUAAGCCAGAAGUGAAAGCCCGGGGCUCAACUCCGGGACUGCUUUUGGAACUACAUGGCUUGAUUGCAGGAGAGGCAAGUGGAAUUCCUAGUGUAGCGGUGAAAUGCGUAGAUAUUAGGAGGAACACCAGUGGCGAAGGCGGCUUGCUGGACUGUAAAUGACGCUGAGGCUCGAAAGCGUGGGGAGCAAACAGGAUUAGAUCCCCUCGUACA
rnacentral:rRNA from 1 species